rnacentral:tRNA from 1 species
GGCCUCGUAGCUCAGUUGGCUAGAGCGCUGGCUGUACUAACGCACCCCCCCUUGCUUNNCCAUUGCUGGCGUGGGUUCGAAUCCCACCGAGGCCG